CUAAAUAAAAACUUUACAGUUAAUGUUUGAAAAAAAAGGUUUUUCUGAGUAAAUAAUUUUGCUGAGGUGAAUGGAUCUGUUAGUGUUCAGCAAAGAACAUUCUGCUCAUGUUGCAGACAAUACCAGAGGUCCACAUUGGAGUAAACAGCAGCGAGCUCAGCAUGACAGCCGGACAAGGUCUGCCAGCAACAAGCCUGAGCAAACACAAAGCCUCAGCAUUGUGUGGCAACUACAGUCGCACAACUACAACUGUAUAAAGACAGAUAGACAAGCUGAUGCAUGUUCUGUGCACAAACACAGCAGUGAAAGUGACAUGUGUCACUGACAACAGGCAGACCUUCUAUCAGUUAUCCAAGACCAUGAAAGCUGAGCUGUGGUACCUCUGUUACUGUACAGCCCCCCAAACAACACGUUUCAUGGAUGUGAGUAUAGUUGUGACCCGAACAUGCGACAUGCGGGAUGAGAGACAGGC